UACGAAGGGGGCUAGCGUUGCUCGGAAUCACUGGGCGUAAAGGGUGCGUAGGCGGGUCUUUUAAGUCAGGGGUGAAAUCCUGGAGCUCAACUCCAGAACUGCCCUUGAUACUGGCGGUCUCGAGUCCGGGAGAGGUGAGUGGAACUGCGAGUGUAGAGGUGAAAUUCGUAGAUAUUCGCAAGAACACCAGUGGCGAAGGCGGCUCACUGGCCCGAUACUGACGCUGAGGCACGAAAGCGUGGGGAGCAAACAGG
rnacentral:rRNA from 1 species